UUUGUUUGCAGACUGCUAGAGUCACACUUGGACUCGGUUCUUCUGCUGGUCCCUGCUUUACCUCCAGACUGCCAUAGCCGCACACGGACUCUUCUUCCCCCUGAAGUUCUGCUGUUCCCUGUUCUUCUCUCACCAGCUAUCACCUGUCUUGCCUGCUGCCAGCUCAACUCCCCUCUCGCCUGAAAUCUGGACCUCCAGUUCCAUUUUUGUUCUGUUCUUUAUUCCUAUGAGUAUCUUGUCUCUUAGUGUAGUGGAUACAGCUUGGCUUUCUUUGGAAUGCCAAAGAAGAGGUCAAACCAGAAACUGAAGUCCAUCGGCUGCCUACCGACACCCAUACCGGAAAUCUGCUGGCAGACUUCCGGCACUGCGCUGAGCGCUCCAACGGGAGAACUCGUUGCCUGGCAACAACGCGACGCUUCAGGAGGAAGUUUCCGGUCUAUAACCGCUGUGUUCCAGCCAAGGGAAACUCCGAUCUAGCAGGGGAGGGGCAGUCUGUGAACGCGCCUCUGUGAGGGGUCCGCGCGUCCCCGCUGCUGCGCGCCAAAGCUGUUUUUGAGAACGACGUCACAAGGAACGACGCGGUUCAUGUCGAAGUAUUGAGUUUGUGACAAAAGGGGAUACCUAUUAAAACAUGGGAGCUAUGAUGGAGCUGGACCAUGUCCUUGGUUACACAAAGACUGUUUGAGCACAUUUCACUCUAUUAAUGCACUUAAGCAUGCUUUGACUCUGAUGAUUCCACCACCUUGACAUUGGGAUCCUCUGUGUAGAGUAUGAAGGUGCUGCGCCCUCAUCUUCCUUCCAUCUUGGUCCAGCCUCAUUAAAGAUCAUCACUGAGGGAGAUGUGAUGGAGAACAUUCAAGACCUGCCAAAAGUUAUGUAUGUUCUGUUUCCCACCAGUCUACACCGAGUCAGUUAAGAUGAUUGUUUUAGCAGCAUUGAUUGUUCAUUACAACCUUGGGCCUCUAUAUUCCCCAACAAAUUCUUGCAAGUUUAUAAAAUGCAACACAAAAUCCUCACAUUUCAUUCCCAAAUGUUAAGCAGGUAUUGGUUAUUUUGUACUCGGGAGGAAUUUAUUUAAUAGGUGAUACGUUUGUCCAGUUGCUUGUUAUACACCAAGAUUUAGAAGUGUCUGCGCAGAACUACGAAUUUGUGCCAUUUGCCAUGAAACGGUUAACAAAAUUCAAGUGUCCUCCUCAGUCAAGUAGAAGGUUUUAUAAGCUUGUGUCCAGUCAUUUGGGGGCAGUGGUGGCGCAACGGUUAAGUCUCUGGACUACUGAUCAGAAGGUCAGAGGUUCAAGCCCCGAUAUGGCCACUGUUGGGCCCUUGACCUUUCCUGCUCCAGGGGUGCUGUACUGUGGGUGACCUGUCGUUCUGACUCCCCCAAUUGGGAGAUAUGCAAAAA